rnacentral:rRNA from 1 species
GGGUGCGAUCAUACCAUCGUUAAUGCACCGGAUCCCAUCAGAACUCUGCAGUUAAGCGCGCUUGGGCGAGAGUAGUACU